rnacentral:rRNA from 1 species
AAAUUGAAGAGUUUGAUCAUGGCUCAGAUUGAACGCUGGCGGCAGGCCUAACACAUGCAAGUCGAACGGUAACAGGAAGCAGCUUGCUGCUUCGCUGACGAGUGGCGGACGGGUGAGUAAUGUCUGGGAAACUGCCUGAUGGAGGGGGAUAACUACUGGAAACGGUGGCUAAUACCGCAUAACGUCGCAAGACCAAAGAGGGGGACCUUCGGGCCUCUUGCCAUCAGAUGUGCCCAGAUGGGAUUAGCUUGUUGGUGAGGUAACGGCUCACCAAGGCGACGAUCCCUAGCUGGUCUGAGAGGAUGACCAGCCACACUGGAACUGAGACACGGUCCAGACUCCUACGGGAGGCAGCAGUGGGGAAUAUUGCACAAUGGGCGCAAGCCUGAUGCAGCCAUGCCGCGUGUAUGAAGAAGGCCUUCGGGUUGUAAAGUACUUUCAGCGGGGAGGAAGGUGUUGUGGUUAAUAACCGCAGCAAUUGACGUUACCCGCAGAA